rnacentral:rRNA from 1 species
AUAACAUACCGAAAGGUAUGCUAAUACGAGAUAAUAUGCUUUUAUCGCAUGGUAGAAGUAUCAAAGCUCCGGCGGUACAGGAUGGACCCGCGUCUGAUUAGCUAGUUGGUAAGGUAACGGCUUACCAAGGCGACGAUCAGUAGCCGACCUGAGAGGGUGAUCGGCCACAUUGGAACUGAGACACGGUCCAAACUCCUACGGGGGGCAGCAGUGGGGAAUAUUGCACAAUGGGCGAAAGCCUGAUGCAGCAACGCCGCGUGAGCGAUGAAGGCCUUCGGGUCGUAAAGCUCUGUCCUCAAGGAAGAUAAUGACGGUACUUGAGGAGGAAGCCCCGGCUAACUACGUGCCAGCAGCCGCGGUAAUACGUAGGGGGCUAGCGUUAUCCGGAAUUACUGGGCGUAAAGGGUGCGUAGGUGGUUUCUUAAGUCAGAGGUGAAAGGCUACGGCUCAACCGUAGUAAGCCUUUGAAACUGGGAAACUUGAGUGCAGGAGAGGAGAGUGGAAUUCCUAGUGUAGCGGUGAAAUGCGUAGAUAUUAGGAGGAACACCAGUUGCGAAGGCGGCUCUCUGGACUGUAACUGACACUGAGGCACGAAAGCGUGGGGAGCAAACAGGAUUAGAUACCCUGGUAGUCCACGCCGUAAAC